rnacentral:rRNA from 1 species
UAUCUCUGUAGAGUCUGCAUAUCAAUAAGCGGAGGAAAAGAAACUAACAAGGAUUCCCUUAGUAACGGCGAGUGAAGCGGGAAGAGCUCAAAUUUGAAAUCUUCAAGGUUCUACCUUGACGAAUUGUAGUUUAAAGAAGUGUUUUCUGUUGAGAGUUGAGUAGCAAAAGUUCCUUGGAAUAGGGACAUCAUAGAGGGUGAGAAUCCCGUAUUUGACUUAUUCAUUCUAGCUUUGUGAUACACUUUCAAAGAGUCGGAUUGUUUGGGAAUGCAGUCCAAAAUGGGUGGUAAAUUUCAUCUAAAGCUAAAUACUGGCGAGAGACCGAUAGCGAACAAGUACCGUGAGGGAAAGAUGAAAAGAACUUUGAAAAGAGAGUUAAACAGUACGUGAAAUUGUCAAAAGGGAAGCGUUUGACACCAGUGUUGUUUUCUCGAAAAUCAAUUAAAAAAAGGUUGGAUUUUGUAGUUGUUAUGACCUUAUCAGCUUACUGUCACUCUUUUCUUGUCUUUUUUUAAUGCACUUUUCGUUUAACAAGUCAAUCAUCAAUUUCUUUUGUUGUAAAAGGAGUCAUUGGAAGGUGGCUUUCACUUUCGGAUGAAAGUGUUUAUAGCCUUUGGCCUUCUGCAAUCGGAGAGAUUGAGGUCUGCAGCGUAGAUCCUUCGGGGCUAGAUACAUUAGAUGCUAAGUUAAUACGUUUUUAUAGACAACUUGUUGACUAUAUUAGAUCAUGUAGCUUACUCGCUUAUGCGCUAAUUUUACCUACGCUUAGGAUGUUGAAGAUGUAGCACAUCAU